rnacentral:rRNA from 1 species
CGCGUAGGCGGCCUGUGUAAGUCAGAUGUGAAAGCCCUUGGCUCAACUGAGGAAGUGCAUUUGAAACUACCGGGCUUGAGUACGGGAGAGGGAGGCGGAAUUCCCAGUGUAGAGGUGAAAUUCGUAGAUAUUGGGAGGAACACCAGUGGCGAAGGCGGCUUCCUGGACCGAUACUGACGCUGAGGCGCGAAAGCGUGGGGAGCAAACA